GAGAGAGAGAGAGAGAGAGAGAGAGAGAGAGAGAGAGAGAGAGAGAGAGAACUGUAGGGAAUUUUCAUCAUCCAUGGCAGCUGUUGCAGAGAAUGCGAUCAGCUCCGACGAUAAGUUUUUACGUGGUUCUGCUGUAAUUUCUUCCAUGGCUGGUGGUGGUUCUGCAGGUGUGCAGAAAUUACACCUCAAACAGAGUACCAUCUGCUGUACUCUUAUUUGCAGGAUCUGGUUUUGAGUGUUGCAGGAUCAUCUGCUGAAGCUACACUGGCUGGUUCUCACCCCAAAGGUUGGUAUAGGUGUCACUUUAGGGGGAGUCCACCAGAUAAGUUUAUAUUUUUCUUUUUGGUUGCAUUUGAGUGUCUAAUUACUUGCUUGCCUUCUAUUCUUUUCUUUUCUUUUUUCUUUUUUUCUUUUAAUUGUAAUUCUCUUUGAUUGUUUUAGAUCAAUAAGGGACUCUCCCGCAUUCAAGGAACGGUUUCAACAUGACAAUGACGGUAAGCUUAACUCUAAAUAUCACCUUUAUAAUCAGAAUUUGUGCUCUUUAUUGUCUGCUUUUGAACAUAAUUUUUAUAUAAUUGACACCUUUUAUCUCGGAAUAUGAUCUAUGAAGUAGCAUAUGAACGCAAUCCCCAUCAAAAUCCACACCUAGGGGAGCGCAAAUAAGAGGAUUGAUCUUAACAGUAUGGUCGUCAUGCACAUAAACAGAAAAUGCUUGCAAUGAAUGUUUAUGAGUACUAGGUGGCCUAUUGAUGAAAACAAUGUCUCUGUCCAUAAAUAACGCCUGUUUAUGAUUUGACCAACUUUCAAAUAUGUGUCCUUUUGGACCUUCCCUGAUUGCAUAAGUGGUUGAAGCAUCUCUAUAUGUUACACA